ACGCUGGCGGCAGGCCUAACACAUGCAAGUCGAGCGGCAGCACGGGUACUUGUACCUGGUGGCGAGCGGCGGACGGGUGAGUAAUGCCUAGGAAUCUGCCUGGUAGUGGGGGAUAACGUCCGGAAACGGACGCUAAUACCGCAUACGUCCUACGGGAGAAAGUGGGGGAUCUUCGGACCUCACGCUAUCAGAUGAGCCUAGGUCGGAUUAGCUAGUUGGUGAGGUAAUGGCUCACCAAGGCGACGAUCCGUAACUGGUCUGAGAGGAUGAUCAGUCACACUGGAACUGAGACACGGUCCAGACUCCUACGGGAGGCAGCAGUGGGGAAUAUUGGACAAUGGGCGAAAGCCUGAUCCAGCCAUGCCGCGUGUGUGAAGAAGGUCUUCGGAUUGUAAAGCACUUUAAGUUGGGAGGAAGGGCAGUAAAUUAAUACUUUGCUGUUUUGACGUUACCGACAGAAUAAGCACCGGCUAACUCUGUGCCAGCAGCCGCGGUAAUACAGAGGGUGCAAGCGUUAAUCGGAAUUACUGGGCGUAAAGCGCGCGUAGGUGGUUUGUUAAGUUGAAUGUGAAAUCCCCGGGCUCAACCUGGGAACUGCAUCCAAAACUGGCAAGCUAGAGUAUGGUAGAGGGUGGUGGAAUUUCCUGUGUAGCGGUGAAAUGCGUAGAUAUAGGAAGGAACACCAGUGGCGAAGGCGACCACCUGGACUGAUACUGACACUGAGGUGCGAAAGCGUGGGGAGCAAAC
rnacentral:rRNA from 1 species